GACGAACGCUGGCGGCGUGCUUAACACAUGCAAGCCGAACGGAGAGACAUGGAAGCUUGCUUCUAUGAAUCUUAGUGGCGAACGGGUGAGUAACGCGUAAUCAACCUGCCCUUCAGAGGGGGAUAACAACGGGAAACCGUUGCUAAUACCGCGUACGAUAUGCUUUCGGCAUCGAGAGUAUAUGAAAGGUGGCCUCUAUAUAUAAGCUAUCGCUGAAGGAGGGGAUUGCGUCUGAUUAGCUAGUUGGAGGGGUAACGGCCCACCAAGGCGAUGAUCAGUAGCUGGUCUGAGAGGACGGCCAGCCACACUGGGACUGAGACACGGUACCAA
rnacentral:rRNA from 1 species